rnacentral:rRNA from 1 species
AACGAACGCUGGCGGCAGGCUUAACACAUGCAAGUCGAACGGGCGUAGCAAUACGUCAGAGGCAGACGGGUGAGUAACACGUGGGAACCUUCCUCGUUGUACGGAACAACUCAGGGAAACUUGAGCUAAUACCGUAUACGUCCGAGAGGAGAAAGAUUUAUCGCAAUGAGACGGGCCCGCGUCGGAUUAGGUAGUUGGUGGGGUAACGGCCUACCAAGCCGACGAUCCGUAGCUGAUCUGAGAGGAUGAUCAGCCACACUGGGACUGAGACACGGCCCAGACUCCUACGGGAGGCAGCAGUGGGGAAUCUUGGACAAUGGGCGCAAGCCUGAUCCAGCCAUGCCGCGUGAGUGAAGAAGGCCUUAGGGUUGUAAAGCUCUUUUACCAGGGACGAUAAUGACGGUACCUGGAGGAUAAGCCCCGGCAAACUUCGUGCCAGCCGCCGCCGUAACAC